GUUCGCUCGAGAGUCGGACUCCGCUGGUCGUGCAAUGCGUGCAGUUUUGAUCCACCUAAAGGAACCGACUCAUACGAGUCAUUCGCUCAGGAUUCGAUCACACGCGUGAUCUGACAAAGAACCUGGCCCCAGUUCCCAACGCUAGCUAGCUUACAAAACAAAGUCGCUUAGUUUGUUAGAAAUAGUACACAUUUUAAGUCGUAGUCUUUAUAUUACCCCAAGACAAGUUAAGAAAUAAUGGAUAUAAGAACACAUUCCUCCUAUUAAGCUGCAUAUUAAGCCAUUUUCUUCCGAUAUAAAAGUUUUAAUACCUGUAUCACAAUAUACACAAAGUCUGCAUGUAACUGAAUGAUUGUUUGGCCCCAAAUCUAUAAAUAAGCGUUCUUCUCGUCCAUGAGGCAGCAGCUAUUUUGGGUCUGGGGAUUUUGAGCAGUGUUUAGGGGUAGAGGAGCCAGGCGGACGAGACGGACACAGAUCGCUUCAGACCGUUCAGAUCACAGCGGUUUCACUGCGUUUUCUCGAGUGUUUGUCAACAACACAACGACGCACAGACGUCUACUAGCGUUUGAUGAAAACAAUCUGAGGUGGAGGGAGUGAUCAUGAAGUCCACUCCUUCUCCUCCUCCAGUGUUUGUUCGUGUCAGUGAGCGUGACCUGACAGAGAUCGAGCUCCAUUCCGUCGACUCCAUCAAUGACUUGCACCGCACACACACUGAACAGCACAGCAAAGGUGCUCCACCACCUCCUACCUCCAAUGGGACUCUUCAGAUGCAAGAUCGAGGAGUUGUCUAUCAAACAGGUCAACCAGUGAGAAGGCCCUGUGUGAGCAGACUGAAUGACAUAUGCACUUCCACUAGGCGGCACUAUUUUUUAGCAUGUGCAGCCAUUAUUGCGUUCCUCCUUACUCUCAUUCUUAUCUUCAGUUUUUUAGUCCAGCAGAGCAGUGCUCUCCACACACUUUUGGAGACGGUUAAACAGAAAAAGGAAACCGCUGAAGAAAUUUCCCAACUCUUACAAGAGCUGCAAAAGCUGCACAUCAACCUCACAGAGCAACGGCCAUAACAAAAAUAUUUCAACACAGACCCACAGGAAAAACAUUACUGCACUGUGACAACACUGAGAGAAGAGCACCGAUUCUUCACUUCAACACGUGUGAUUCUAUGUCUUAAAGGCUUCUAUCGCUUCGGUGGAAUCCAAUAUCCUGCUCAAAAACAUUCACUUAGCCUCCUGAUGUUUGUGCAUGCAGUGUAAAUGGAAAAUAAUGUAUUAAGUAAUGGACUUUUCACCAGUAUUUUUUCUACACUUAUAUGGUUACACACUAUUUGGCAACUUGCUAUAUUAGUUUCACUAAAGCAAAUGAUAAUACAAAACAACACUAAGAAAUAUGGAAAGAAUGUGAAUAAUCAUACCUGUUAUUAUAUUUUAAUUCAUUGUUAUCACUCCAACA
rnacentral:lncRNA from 1 species